AACAACUAUGACCGGGCUGUCAUCAAUACCGUUCCUUAUGAUGUCGUCCAUCGCUGGUAUACAGCACACCAGACUCUAACGACAGAGUUGAGGAGACCUGAGAAUGAGUUUUGGGUCAAACUAAAGCCUGGCAGGGUCCUAUUUAUAGACAACUGGCGUGUCCUACAUGGCAGGGAAUGCUUCACUGGCUACCGCCAACUCUGUGGCUGCUAUUUAACAAGAGAUGAUGUAUUAAGCACUGCUCGCCUCUUGGGGCUUCAGGCUUAAAAUUGACAGCAUCGGGAUCAUGAAUACACCUGGCACCCUGGCUACCACAAUUUCAUAUGGGCAGAAUAAUAUUGUGUCAAACUCUACUUCAGAUUGUCUCCUUAUCCCAUCCCACAAAAUAGAAUCUGUUCGUUUCUCUAGUAAGGGAGACUUGUUAGAGAGGGGGGACUCUGAGUUACCUAAUGUCAGACAUCUAGUGGGGCAGCUCUCUUCCUCAUGUUAUAACAUGGAUCCACUUGUUUUAUGUAAACCUUUUAAUAUAAUUUUGGUCAGUCUCCUUCAGAAAUAUAAUCUCCAUAUUGAUAGGAAAGCAAUAAUUGCCAUGAGGUAACGAUUUUUUUUCCCAAGUAGAUCAGUUAGAAAGAAAUGCAUUCUAGAAAUAACAAAAAUCCUGAUAAAGCAACGAUUUGCAGAAUUUUUGGUCUUAGGACACCUUAACACUCUUAAAAGCUAUUGAAGGCCCCAAGGAGUUCUUGGGUGUGAGUUCUAUCAUCUAUUGAUACUAAUUAUUUUAGGUAUUAAGACUGAGAAAUAUUUAAAACUCAGGAAGAACACAGAAGCACACAUCCCUCAGCUAUCAGAGAGAUGACAUAACCAUAUGUCAUGUAGCCUCUGGAAAAGUCCUCCGUAUCCUCAUGAGAUAAUGAGAGGGGGAAAAAAAGCUACUAUUGCCUUUGUAACUUCCACUUAGCCUACUACAGGGCUAUGCACAUCUUAGUUUCCAAAAGUCUGCUUAAUUUCAAAAGAAAAAUGCCUAAUUGAAUGUAACUCAUCUUGGUGUUACUAUACAAAAUAAUUUUUAAUCUGCAGACCCACUAAAAGGGUCUCAGGGACUCCUCCAGGGGUCUUCAGACCAUACUUUGAGAACCUAUAGGCUAGCGACUACCUUGAGACGACAGUCAUUUACCUAGGCCUAUGGAUUAAAGGGUUUAGCUGAAACCCUAGAUUUUUCUCUGUAGUCUAAUAGAACUCCAAACAUUGUAAGAAUUGCUUGGUAGCAUAAGCUCAGGGAUAAGGUGGGAAUUCAGUUCAAAUAUAGUGUUAUAUCUUCCAUACAAAUCAUCUCUAUAGGAGUUAAAUUAGGAAGUCACAACAGCGCCUGUUGAACAAACUCAUCGGUGUGGUAAUCCUAUGAGGGAUAAUUGUAGAAAGGUUUUAGAGACUUGUGAGGUUCCAUAUGAUAAUUCUUUACACACACACACACCCCCACAAGAGAAAGUACACAGGGCUAUUCUGUAGUAUUGUUCAGGGAAAUCAGCAUGAUAGAUGCUGUGCCUCCAAAGAGUUCUCUGGAGAUUACUACCCAAACGUAUAUUUUGGCAAUUUGGUGGUAUUUAGGAUGUAAUAUGUUUUCCUCCAUUUCUGCUAAUUUUCUCUCUCUCUCUCUCUCUCUCUCUCUCAUAACAUACUAUACAUGUUAAUUGCCAAGAUUUGAAUGAGUCAAAUUUAGUAGCUUGCUGCUUUUAUUUUUCAAAUGGCUUCUUUUAUGUAUUGGGGGGGCAGGGUAUGAGGCUUCUUUCCCCUCAGCUUUCAUUGAAAGUGAAGCUGUACAAUAACCACAUUGACCACUGUAGGAUGAUGAAAGAGAAUAUAGGCUAGGAUGCACACAAGACGGGGGAAAAGGCAUUAUUAGUGAAGAUAGGAGUCACAAAGCAAAGCAAAGUCAGUAUUCAGAUAGAGAACAGAGCCUAAUCUGAUGUUUGCAGGGAGUUCCUAGAUCACAUUUGGCAAUUUACACAUUAUUUUAUUGACCUAUCCAGUGCUCCAAAAUGUGUUCCAAAAUAUUUUGGCAUUUUAUUUGUACUAUAUAGGAAUCUUUAGGGGAGUCCAUGAAAUUUGUUUUCCUCUUAGGUCAAAGGACUGAUAAUUAACUUUGGUUCUUAAGGAGUAUGCCCUUUAGCAAUAAGAACAGCAAUAACAUUUUACCCUGCAGUUUUUUCUCUAUACCUACUGUUAUGCACUCCUAAAAUAUGUCAUCAUUAGUCUUCAUGAGGAUGUUUACCAUUUUUGAAGUUUUGCGUAAAUUAGCCUUGAAGAUUACACUAUAACUGAGGUCAUCAGCAUUGACUUAUGGCCAGCAAAGGACAUGCUCAUGGCCCUGGAGAGAUGAGGACACAAAACAAAUCAAUUUCCCCACUUACUGAAGGACUCCCCUUACCUUCUGUCUCUGCUGAGACCUUGAUCCGUUAAUUAUUUUACUCUCCUUUUUGGAAAUUUGCAACCAGUCCUUCUCAACAAUGUACUCCCUUUAGUACAUUGAAGAAAAAGAGAAGGGAAUUAUUUGGGUCCUGAUCACGAUGCAUUGAAAACUUCCUAUGUGAGAUGUGUCUGUUUUUACAUCUCUUCCAGGUGUCCCUGAGUAUAUAAGCAUGGGUCUAUGUCUACCAAGCUCACUGUAGAGUUACUUUUACCUUUUGCUAUGGUGGAAUGGGAUCUGUAGGGUCAGGAACACAGCACCUAACACAGUGUCUUAUGGAUAGUAGUUUUUUAUAAUACACAUGUGUUGGAAGAAUAAAUGAAUGAGUCCUUUUCAAACAAAUUCACCAGAAGUUACCACAUUCUCUGUAUGUAUGUCCUUAUUCGUUUGGCAUUUAGCUGACACUGACUUUUGUUUGCUUUCAUCUAGAGUGACCAACUAUCCUCUUGUGCCCAGAACUACAGGACUUUCCAUUUUAAAACUAGGAGAGUCCCACACAAACCAGGACUGUUGGUCAGUCACUGUACCUUCUUGCUGCUAGAUAUGUAAUUUUCUUUGGUUUUCAUCACUGGUUCUCAUUUCUUUGAAAGUGCUUGUAGGUCACAGACUGUGUAGUCCAUGAUGAAAAGAACAAAAGAUGUAUGAAUUAUGGUGUGUUGUGGUGGUUCCCAAAGUAGAGUCCCCAGACCACCAGCAGUGGCAUCAUUUGAGAACUCCUUAGAAAUGCAAAUUUUCAAGGCCCACCCCACGCCUACUAAGUAAGAAACUCUGGGCAUGGGUACCAGCAGUUUGUUUUAGCAAGUCCUCCGCAGGAUUCUAACAAACACAUGACAAAGUUUGAGAACUACUGACAGGAAGAGUCCUGCUGCUGAGUUCUAGGCCCAGUUCUGUCACUGGCUCACUAAAUGACUUGACGCAUGUCCCUCUCCUGUUUUGAACUUCAACUUUCUCUUCUGUGAAAUGAAAGCCUUGGACUAGGCAGCGUCUAAAGGCUCUGUCACUCUGUAAUUGUGUGACUUUGGUAACUUUGUUUGACUUCUCCUUGCUUAAGUUUUCUCAUAUGGGUAUGGUAAGGAAAAUACCUACCUCACAGGAUUUUCUAACAAUUUUGUGAUUAUUAAGUAUGAUGACUGAUGACUAAUAAUGACAGCCAACUCUUACACAGUGCUUUCUAUAUCCUGGACUGUUCUAAGUGCUUUUAAUCCCCGCAACAAUCCCAUCUCCAUUUUACAAAUGAAAAAGAGAGGUCACACGGCUAAUACGUGUCAGAGUUUGGAUUAAAACCCAGAAAAAUCUG